AAAAGGGAUACGACUGAGUUCUCUAGUAACGGAUUGGAAAGAUCCACAACAAGGGGUGAAGGAACUUGGAAAACCAACAGUAAAAUAGGGAGGAAAGCCCUUGAUUCGUGGCAACAGCUAAAGUGCUCACAUGUGCAGAGUGGACAAAGAGCACCGAGCGUAAGCUUCAAGAAAAACCUGGUUCACUGUCUUUUGGUCUGGAGUUAGACUCCACGUACUCUGUUGUAUCAAAAAGAAGUGCUCAAGGAUAAAGCUGCUUCCUGUGCUUCCUCCAGCUUCCUGGUUUUGAAUAGGAUUUUAGAAGGAUGUGAGUGUGGGGCUGUGUCAGCCAUCUUGUAUUGACGAGGAAUGGAAGCCAAUGCCGAGAACAGCCAAGGAGAAGGACAGAAGGCAUCCAGGAAUUUGAUGAUGUCAUUAUGUCACUGAAGUUAAGUAAUUUUGGAACUUCCUACCUCUAGACUUCUUAUUUUACUGGUAUAAUAAAUAUCAUGAUGGUUUAAGUCA